UCGAGAAUCUUCCGCAAUGGACGAAAGUCUGACGGAGCGACGCCGCGUGCGGGAUGAAGGCCUUCGGGUUGUAAACCGCUGUCACAGGUUAAGAAUGGGUCAGACGAUAAUAUCGGCUGGCUUUGACAAAGGCCUGAGAGGAAGCCACGGCUAACUUCGUGCCAGCAGCCGCGGUAAGACGAAGGUGGCAACCGUUGUUCGGAAUCACUGGGCAUAAAGCGCACGUAGGCGGGUAAGUAAGUCGGGUGUGAAAUCCCUCGGCCCAACCGAGGAACUGCGCCCGAUACUGCUUAUCUUGAGGGCAGGAGGGGAUCGUGGAAUUCCUGGUGGAGCGGUGAAAUGCGUUGAUAUCAGGAGGAACACCGGCGGCGAAGGCGACGAUCUGGCCUGCUUCUGACGCUGAGGUGCGAAAGCCAGGGGAGCAAACAGGAUUAGAUACCCGGGUAGUCC
rnacentral:rRNA from 1 species